UUUUUUUCCCUCUUCUUCUCUCUGGGCAAUGUACGGGAAUAAGGUGUGGAUCGACAGUUGUGAUCACGGUGGUCCAGUGAGGUGGCAAUGACAGGCAGGGAAGAAUAGCCGGCGGCAGUGGCCAGCUAGCUAAAAUUAGCCCAAAGACAAGGCUGAACAUGGGAUUCUUGGCUCGGUUGUCCUAGGAUCUCAGCCCUUUCGCCGAUGGCUGGGGGUCCGGCUUUAGCUAGGGGCUAAAGCAAAGGAGGGGCUGAGGCCCUCUGCGAUGAACGCCAGCAGCAGAGAUGGUUGAAAGAAGAAAAAACAAGCUUAGUAAUAGUGUCGGAACAGGGUAAGUGAAUAGGGCCCUUUCCAACCAUUAUUUCCAGCGAAUUCAAAACUAGUGACAAGAUCUAUCGAAAAGAAAAACAAAGAAAAGGGAGAUGGGGGCUUAUCUUGACUCCAGCAAGCUUCUUCGGCCUCGAUUUUCGGCAGCCACAGUGAGAGGAAAUAGACAAAAACAAGAAGAAAGAGUGAGAAAAAAGAGAAAAGAUGGGAUUGUGCUCAUGGU
rnacentral:lncRNA from 1 species